CCAGACAAACGGGCCUCGACCCCGUAAAAAAUUAAUUAACAGCUAACUACCCAAACCAGCGGGCUUUUGUCUG
rnacentral:tRNA from 1 species